AUUGCAAAAUAAUUAAAUAGUAUUGUGGUGAAAUGAAUAAUUAUUAAAACUUUUUAGCCGAUUUUUAUUGAUAUUUUUCUAAUUUUAUUAACUUAUUAUAUACAUGCAUUCUUCCUUUUGAAUAAUAUGAUGUUAAGUUUUGGUUUCUUGAAAAUUAUUGUUUGAAAAUUCUGGGACUAAAUUUAUCUCAUAAAAAUGUAAACAAACAAGUUAGAGUAGAAACACUUGAUUUUAAAGACGCACUAAUUCCGAAGAAAUGUCACAAUUUUAUUCAUUAUACGCUCACUCAACAAUUCUAACAUAUUCUCAUUCAAAUAUAUCUUUGGUUUUAUGUAGAAAAUAUCUUAUUAUAUUUAUAUAUAUUUGAAAUAAAAUAUAAUAUAUUUAAAAAAUUAAAUAUAUUUCUAAAUAUAUUUAAAAAAAAAUAUAUAUAUUUGUUUGCAAGCAUCAGGUAUUCAUCAUAAAUACUAAGGUAACAGUAUAUUAUACACAACAAAAGAUAUUAUAUGUACUAAUAUUUACCAAUAGACACAUAUUAAACAGAUAUUAUUUUUAAUUAAUAAUACAAUAAAAAUAAAUUAACCAUUUUCAAACAUGUAUAUAUGAUAAUAUUUAUAUAUUAUAAAUAUAAUCAAUAAAAGGCAAUCACCUUACAACCUUACACCGUACACUUUACAAUCACCUAUCGGCAUGCUGGACAAAUUUCUGCCUUUGAAUGUGAAUGGCGUAUAUACAGAAAUGGCGUAUGAUGGAGAUAUUACUUUCUUUCGACCAAGUUCUUUUCAUCUAUCUUACGUUAUUUCUACGGUCCUCGUUACAUGAUAAAAGAAAAAGAAAAGUCUCUAUAAAGUAUUAAUAUGGAUUAUUAACAAUAAACAAUCGAUCGAAAAACAUUCUUCUCUGUAAUUUAGACGUCAAUUGAUACUUUGGUUAAUCAUCUAUAUUUAUAGGUAGGAGUAUCACAUAAACAUUGGACUCGUUUAAAAUCAUAAGCAAUACAAUAUUCAGUGAUUCGUAGACAAGAUGCCAAAGGUACGAAGAAGUAAAAAAUCUCCACCUGAUGGUUGGGAAUUAAUUGAACCUACGUUAGAAGAACUGGAACAAAAGAUGCGCGAAGGUAAAUAAACUACGAUAAAUAUGAAGCCGAAACAGAGCCACACGAAGGUAAACGUAAACAGGAAUCUUUAUGGCCGAUAUUUAAAAUUCAUCAUCAAAAAUCACGAUAUAUAUAUGAUUUAUUUUAUAGACGAAAAGCUAUAAGUCGUGAAUUGUAUGAUUAUUGUCUGAAUGAA